ACUCAGGAGGCUGAGGUGGGAGAAUCACUUGACUUGAUGUCGAGGCUGCAGUGAGCUGAGAUCGCACCACUCCUAGAUGAUAAGAGUGAGAGCCUGUCUCAAAACAAAGAAAAGAAAGAAAGAACGAAAGAGAAGAAAAUACAGGUAUUACGGCCUAGACAUUCUUUCAGAUGCCAGAGGAUGCUAUAGAAAAAUGCGUGCCCUCUUGUAAUACUUUGUUCAAGUUCUGAUCAGAAGGAUGAAUGAUGGAGCCCAAGAAGCCAGGUUAAUCCUCAUUACUUACAAAUUCCCUACUUGUGAAGUUGUCUACUUGGUAAAACUUUUUGUAAUACAAAAAUCAAUUUUGUGGAUAUAAACAGAUAAGUCCGGUGUAGUAAAAAAUGUGAAUUGUCCAACAAGCACAUUUCCAGCUGAGUUCAAAGUGAUGUCUUGCCUUCUUUUUUCAGCUCACAAACAAUAAACAAGUGUCCUUUUGUGAUCUAUUUAGUGCCAUACUUUAGGCAUUUUUUUUUUUGCUUCUUCUUGGUGAUUUCACUGCUUAAAAUGUCCCCCAAGGAUAUUGCUAAACUGUGGCCCUUUUUUCUAAACACAGGAAGACAAAAGAAUGUGCCUUAUGGAGAAAAUACAUGUGUUAGCUUAACUUCUUUCUAGAAUGAGCUACAGGGCUGUAGACAUAAGGUCAAUGUUUAUAAAUCAACAAUAUAUAUUAAAUAAGUUGUCUUUAGACAGAGACAUACAAAAAAAUAAGGUCAUGUAUUGCAUUAAUCAGUUGAUAAAAAUAUUGUAACCAGAGGCUUGAGGGACCAUAACCUGUAUUUCCCAUAGGAACAAUGGUUCAAUAUUGACUGAUUCUGUGUUUGCAGCAAAUUUAUAGAAUGUAUCAGCCACUAAUAAUAAAAAUCAGUUGUAUAUAAUUUAUAUUUCUCAAUUCUCUGCCAACUUGCCAAUAUAACAACUCCAACUAGUGCUAUAGUAUUUUUUUACAUUGACCUAAUCUUGCACUUCCCAACUCAUUUUAAGAUUGAGUUAAUGUCUGACUUCCAAACCCUUCUAGGACAAUUUGUAAUGGCUUGUUGAAAUCCUGUUUUUCUAUAGUGUAGUUGUAAAUCAUGACAGAUUUUAAGUUCACUAAAUAUUUGACUUCAGCAGCAUCCAAAUAUGUUUCUACUAUUUGAUAAAGAGGAACAUGUUCUAAUUCUCAUCACUGAGGUACAUGGAACAAAGUUAAUAUACUCUGUUAAAACAUGCCUUUCACUAAACUGGAAAUUUAGAAACUGAAAAUGUUAAGGAAAUAGAAUGGUGGGAAAGUAGAUUUCAUGAAUUGACUCAAGCAUAAGAAAACUUUUCACUGUCCUGUGUUUUAGAUGCAGGCCGCUCCCCAUCUUCUGGCCAUGUUAACACCUUUGGACCUAUGGCUGUUUAUCUCCAUUAGAUUACAUAAAAUGGUAUAAAGCACACUAUACUACAGUGUUCUAUACAAAUUACAUGCUUUUGGAAUGCUUUUUUCUUAUUAACUAUUAAUAUACAAAUGUAUUUUACAGUUUGAUCCUUGGAAUUUUUUUUCUGGCUUAUUUAUUUUAUUCAGAUGUAUUCAUUUAAAGCAUUAGGAAAGAUUUUCAAGAGAUGGAUACAGAGGUGAACAGCACAACUUAAAUAGCCAAAAUAUUUACUCAUGUGAAAUUAUGAAUUGUUAAUUAACAGAAGCAACUGUCAAAAUCAUGAAACACUAUUUCUACCAUUUAUUUUUAUUGCUAGAGUACAGGAAAAACUCAUGUCUGUUAAUCAUUCAGCUUUAGACAAUAACCAAGCUUUCAUAUACUGUGUUUGAUGAUGAAUCUACUAAUGCCAACUUCCUUUUUUUCUUACAAACUUCCUAAAAGAAGCAAAGCAGUUUAGAUAGCAAGUCGAUUAAAUCAAUUAAAUUAAAAAUUGAUAUUUUUAUUUUAUUUAAACGUAAACUUUUUUGUGAACUAUAAAAUGAAAUAUAUUUAAUAGUAAAAAGGAGGCAUUAAAUGGUUUUGGCUAUUGUUAAAUGACUCGUAGGUUAAAUUUCUAUCAGAAUUUUAGAUAACUUACAUUUUAAUCUCAGAAUUUACUUUGGCUUUUAUGAUUUUAUGAGUCAAAGUGCAGAUGCCCAGUUUAUUUAUUGGAAUAUUUGCUGCAUUUGUAAUAUGAAAGGUCAUUAGGAAUGACUCAACACCACAAAGCACAGUUAAGAUUCUAAAACUGGGAAAUGACAACUUAUUAUUUUUACACCAGCAUUAAAGCCAAUUCUCUUUUUAUUUCAUAAUAGAAGUAAAAUCCAAUAAUGAAGUCAAUAGAAACAAUGGUAGUCAGGGUUGAUAUUUAUAUUUUUAUUCUAAUGUGUGUUUUAUCAAUUAAUAACUUUUUCUCUUUCAAACAAGAACUCAAAAAAUAAAUUCCUAGCCUAAAGAAGUUCAAAGAUUUCUGAUUUUAAUAUCAUAUAUUUUAUUUGACUCAUCAAUGUCCAUGUAACCUCAGACAAGAAGAAUGUGGACAGCAUAAUAAUUGUAAACCAUUUGCUACUGCAUGAUCAGAAACAGACACAUAAACAAAUUCUGGCCAAACGCAUUAACGGAAGUGAGAGGGUUUCUCUAAAAUCAUCUCUUCAUAUCUAAAUAAGAACCAUAGCAAAAUUAAGCUCUUCACAUCCUCUGAAUCAGUUUUGCAUUUUAUGGACUAGCUGAAAUGGCUGUAGCCAAAUUGCCACCAUCUUUUAAGAAAAGCCAAUGUCAAGGCUGGAGCAGGAGAGAAGGGGACCUGCUGUUAAUGACAAUGCUGAGCCAUUGACUCCACCCAUGCUGAAGACUGCUCAAAGGCUAGAAGUUGUGCUAUUAUAUAUGCAAGAUUCUUAUUGUCUAGGUAUUUAGGCUGGAAUCCAGUGGCAUGAUCUCGGCUCAGUGCAACCUCCGCCUCCUGGGUUCAAGCAGUUCUCCUAGAUCAGCAUCAGCGUCCCGAGUAGCUGGGAUUACAGGCACCCGCCACCAUGCCUGGCUAAUGUUGGUCAGGCUGGCUCGAACUCCUGACCUCAAGAGAUCCACCUGCUUUGGCCUCCCAAAGUGCUCGGAUUACAGGCAUGAGCUGCCACACCCAGCCUCCAAAUACUUUUUUUUUAAAUCAAAAUAAUGAUUUCAAUGACUGAGAUCUGUUAUGUAUUUC
ensembl:lncRNA novel transcript